rnacentral:lncRNA from 1 species
GAACCAGAGGUGGAGAUUUGACAAAUCGGAAUUAUGCUAAGCAGUCGCAAUGUAAAAUCGCCGAAGAUGAUGUGUGCUGGCUUGAACAGAGGCGCAAAGGAAAGGAAUCUUAAAAGGACCAGUUCAGAUGCCUAAGACUUUGAGAAUCACUACAAGAAAAACUCACGGUGAAGGUCCUAAAACACGGGAUCGCUUCCAGUUGAGAAUCUAAAAGCAACUCAGACUUGGAGAAUCCUUCUAAGAUUGUUAAACAGAUUACUUCCAUCACUACUGCAUUAGUAAUUGAGGCUGAAGUUACCACUGGAGAUGCU